AUUUCCAGAGAAUUAUCACUAGGAAUGAAUGAAUGUUGAAUUUCACCAAAGUCUUUAAAAAAAAGAGAGAGAGAGAGAGAGAGAGAGAGAAGAAAUAAUACAGUAUCUGUGUAUCAUUUUAAUUGAUUCUCCAUAUUGAAUCAAAUUUAAAUUCUUAGAAUAAACUCCUUUGUCCACAUCAUAUUAUCCUUUAGUUUGUUUGACUUGUUAACAUGUGGGGAAUUUCCUGGGAGAGAAUUUUUGUAUGUAUAAUGUAAUGUAUACGUCUUUUUCUGUGUGUGUUUCAAGGUAAUGCUAGACUCACAGAAUAAAACGAGAUAUAGUCCCUAGUUUUCAAUAUUAUGGAAGAGUUUGGUGGAAUUUGUUUGACUUAUUUUUCAAAUAUUUGUAAGCGUUUACUAGAGAAACUAUCUGGAUCUGGACUUCCUUUUAGCACUUAAAAUACUAAUUCAAUUUAUUUAAUGGAUAUUGGGCUAUUAAGCACUUUUCUUUCUUAGAUGAGCUUUGGUAUUUUGUAUCAUUCAUGGAAUUUGUUCAUUUAAUCCAAAUUGUCAAAUUCAUUGGUAUAAAAUUAUUUGUAAUAUAUCCUUGUUAUCUUUUUAAAAACUUUAGCAAUGUCACACUCUCAUUCAUGAUACUGGUCAUUUGUGAUUUGUCUGUCUUUAAACUUAUUAAAUUCAUAAGUUUAGGGCCAAGACAGUCUUUGGCCCUAAACUUUGAAAAAGUAAUUUUUCUGGGUGUGUGCUUCUCAGUUAGGUUUUUUUGUUUGUUUGUUUGUCUGUGUUUUUGUCUUUUUGCCUUUUCUUGGGCUGCAGCAUGUGGAGGUUCCCAGGCCAGGGGUCGAAUCGGAGCUGUAGCUGCUGGCCUACACUAGAGCCACAGAAACGCGGGAUCCGAGCCGCGUCUGUGACCUACCCCACAGCUCACGGCAAUGCUGGAUCCUUGUCCCACGGAGCGAGGCCAGGGAUAGAAACCGCAACCUCAUGGUUCCUAGUCAGAUUCGUUAGCCCCUACGCCACGAUGGGAACUCCUCAGUUAGGUUUUUUAAAAAUUCUUAACUUUCAUUAAUUUAAAGAAGUUGUUCUUCUGUCAUAUAUUUAAAAAACUUUCUGACAAGAAAUCUGUUGUCAUCCUUAUCAUUGCUCCUCUCUUCCUAACAUCUCUGUAUUAUCUAACUGCUUUUAUUUAAUACAUUCCAUUUAUCAAAUGUUUUCUGCAAUUCGAUAAUGUAGGCUUACCAGGCUUGCCGUAUUGCUCCCUCCGGUACUUCAGUGCAGACUGGGGAAACUCUCAAGUUGUAAUUUUCUUCAUGAUUCCUAUACUUGAUACAAGUUGAUAUUUGUCAUCUGUGGUUUCAGAAUGUUCAUCAAAUUUGAAAUAUUUCUGCCUUUUUUUCUUAAAUUUUUUUUUUCUCAGCUCCCUGUAUUAUUCUAUGGAAACAAUAAUUAUCUGUAAUGGCUGCUUCAUUUUACGCUUACAGAAUGAAAUGAGAUAUAGUCCCUCUUUUUCAAUAUUAUGGAAGAGUUUGGUGGAAUUUGUUUGACUUCUUUUUAAAGAAGAAUAUGGUUUUCUUUGUGUGAUUGAAUGCCAGAUCUGGGCCCAGCUGCGAAUUAUACCACAGCUCAUGGCAACCCCAGAUCCUUAACCCACUGAGGGAGGCUAGGGAUCAAACCCAAGACUUCAUAGAUACUAGUUGAGUUCGUUACUGCUGAGCCACAACGGGGAAUGCCCUCGUUAAUUUUGUCUGUGUUUUGGUUGUUUCAAGUGGAGGGAAAAUCCAGUCCCUAUUUUUCCAUUUUUUUCUGAAUUUUAAAUCCAAAAAAAUAUUUUUUUUUCAAAAUUAAUCUUCUUAAAAAUGUCAAACUUUUCUUCAGCUUAGAAGAGGUAUAAAGAAAAUGAUGUCAAAAUGAUGUCUGACUAGAAACUAGGAGGAUGCAGGUUCAAUCCCUGGCCUUGCUCAGUAGGUUAAGGAUCCAGCAUUGCUGUGAGCUCUGGUGUAGUUCACAGAUGUAGCUCGGAUCUGGCAUUGCUGCGUCUGUGGCAUAUGCUGGCAGGUACAGCUCUGAUUCAGCCUCUAGCCUGGUAACCUCUGUAAGCCACAGGUGCGGCCCUAAAAAAAGAAUAAUUCAAUAAAUACUAUAAAAUACAGGUGUUGGAGGACAAAAUUAAUUUCUUUUCUUAAUGCUAAAAGCUCGUUAUUAAACACAAACUCAUGUUAAAAGACAUGGAAACUCAUGACCAGGAAUGAAGUAUGAGGAAAUUACCCAGAAGGUAUCAUUUUAGAUAAAAUGAUGGCUAACAUGAAAAAUGGUUAAAUGGGGAAAUCAGAUGAAUGUAGGUAUAAACCACAAUGAAUAGCAGUACCAAAUGAGAUAUUAGAUAGAAUGUGACAAGAAAUAUUCAAAAAGAAAGUAGUUGAGGAUUUAGCAUAGGUCUUAAUGAGUACUUGGAUGGUUCAGCUGACUAGAUCCUGCAUCACCUUAUUUAAGCUGGGCUUAAUCAUGUGUCUGUGGUCAGCUAAUGGGUUAGCUGGGGCCUGGCUGCUUCAGGAUUGCCUCAGCUAAGUCUCUUUUCUGCUCCAUAUUUUCUCUUAUUUCCUGGUUGGAUGACAGGCUUAUUCUCAUGGUGGAUGCAAAUGAGGUACAGACAGACAGACAGACAGACAGACACAGACAGAUAGAAAGACAGACAUUGAAAUGUUCAAAGAUUUUCAAGGCUUAGUUUUAUAUCUGGAAUGGCAUCACUUCUGCCACAUUCCCUGAACCACAUGAGACUGCACCAGAUCCCAUUUAAGGAAUAGAGAAAUGGACUCUACAUGAUAAAGAACACUGCAAAAUUAUACUAUGAUGAUAAAAAUCCAAAAAGGAGUGGGAAAUAUAUUGAUUUUUCUAAUCUAUCUACCACUAAUAUUUUUUCAGAAUAGGAAAACAAAAACAAAAACAAAAAUAAUUGAUAAUACUGAGAUUGCAUAACAAUAUCAAGCUUGAAGAGAAUAAAGAAAAAAAAUCCAUUCCUAAAUAUAUUUUGUAAAAUUGUACCAAAAACCACACAAAAAUUGAUUAUUAAAAACAAUCAGAAAAAAGGCAUUACAUAUGGUGAAUGAUUAAUUUCUCAUCAGAAAAAAGAGAAAACAAGACAAUAGAUUAUGUACAGUGCUGAUGGGCAAUAUUUGCUAAUAUGGAAUAUCCAUCUAGCUAACCUAGCUUUAAAGAUAGAGAAAUAAAUAAAAUUUCAAUCAAAGACAAAGUUUGCUGUGAUAUACUUACUAAUUUUUUUUAAGAAAUAACAAUUGAAAGGUUGCAAUAAAGCAAAGUCAGUGCAAGAUACAAGGUGAACAAUCAUAAAUUUGUAAAUGAGGAUGGAUUGUAAAAUUACUAUAUAUGUAAAUACAUAUGCAUGUGUUCAGUAAUAUAUAGUGAAUUUACAUUAUUAAUUAUAAGUAUAUAUAUAUACAUACACACACACACACGCACACACAUACACACAUGCAGUAACAGAAUACAAACACAAUCAAUUGAGGAAACUGAACAGAACUAAAAUAUUAAUAAUGAUAUUAUUAGAAAGUGUCUUAACUAGUUUGGCUAUCCUAACAAAACACCCUAGACUGGAUGUUUUGAACAAUAGAAAUUUAUUUUCUUACAGUUCUGGAGGCUAGAAGUCCAAGAUUGAGGUGCUAGCAUAGUUUCUGAUAUAGGCUCUCUUCCUGGCUUUUAGAUGGCUCUCUAGUGUCCUUUUCAUAAGGGCACUGAUUCCAUUACGAGGCUCUACCUUUAUGACUUCAUCUAACCCUAACUACCUCCCAAGGACCCUGUCUCAAAAUAUCAUCACUUUGGGGGUUAGGGCUUCUACAUAUGAAUACUGGGGAAACACAAUUCAGUAUGUAACCACUAGUAAGGAUUAUUUUAGGUCAAUGUGCUAAGUUUCUUAGAGAAGGUAGAGAUAUUAACUUCAGAAUUUGUAAAGUCAGAUUGAUUAAUCUGAUUUCAAAUAUGCUUUAUUGGUGAUUGGCAUUUAUAGGAUAUAUAUUAAUUUCUAUUGAAGAAUCUGGUUGGUUAUUUGAUUACCUUUAAAAUAUGGCCUUCUUAAACUAAAUUAUAGUACUCUUAUCAAACUCAGUUAUUGGAUUACUUUUAAAAUAUGGCCUUCUUAAACUAAAUUAUAGUACUCUUAUCAAAUAUUAUAGUCAAAUAUUCCCCAAAGUCUUUUGUUUUCCUCAGAGUAAAUCAUUUAAUUAAUGUAGCAUAGAUAGCUGAAGAUUACUUUUCAACUAUUUCAUAAAUAAAGUAAAAAUAUCUCAAAAUAUAGGUUAUAGUUUUGUUAUAUUUUUUCUUAAAGAUAUUUAUCUUCAUAUCACUAUAAAUUAUAUCAAUGUAACAUUUAUAUUUGUCUCAGAAUAGCUCUUAUAAUCAGGUCAAAAGCAAGUUAUCUUGAACCAACAUAGGUUUGAACUCCAUUGGUCCACUUAUAUUCAGUUUUUCAAUAAAAAAGUGUAUACAGUGCUAAAGAAAACCCACAGGCACUUGGUCGAAUCUGCAGAUGCAAAACUCUGCAUUCAAAGGGCUAGAAUAUAAAGUUAUACAUGAGUUUUCCACUGUGUGUAGGGUCAGCGCCCCUAACCCCUGCCUUGUUCCAGAGUCAACUGUGCAUCCUAAUUGGCAUGGUGGCUAU
rnacentral:lncRNA from 1 species